CAGGUCUGUCCUAUUGUCGUGUGAGUGCUGUGUCUCAAUCCACUGGGCCGAGGGUCUGGCCCCAUCUCUGACCACAGUUGUGCAUUUCCUUCACUGAUUGCUUUCCAUUGCUGCAGUUACCUCUGCUCCUUCCAGAGCUCCAGGCUAGACUGUCCUCUUGCCUUGCUCUGCAGUGCUCCCAGUGUUGAACAGAAAUGGGCUUGGGUGGGCUGUGCUAUAAAUACAUCCCAUAGGACAGACCUUCCUCGGGUACUGUGAUCUGUGUGUGAAUUUGACCUGUGUGUGAAUUUGACCUGUGCCUUUCCCAGGACCGGGAAGCACUCGCUUGCUCUGGCUGCUCUGCUGGCGGUCAGGUGAGCAGAGGUGGAGGGUCUCACAUAGCCCUUAGGUUGCUUGCAGUUUGCUGGGUAUCUGCUAAACAUCCCAGAUGAAGGCAGCUGCUUAUUUUCUUUAAUUUUAAUCUAUUUCCCGGAAGUAAUCUUUGGAAACACCAGAAGCUGCUCUCCAUUGACCUGGACAAAGUAGUGUUACCCAACUUUCGCUCAAAUCGCCCUCAAGUGAGACCUUUGUCCCCUGGAGAAAGUGGUGCCUGGGACAUUCCUGGAGGGAUCAUGCCUGGCCGCUACAACCAGGAAGUAGGCCAGACCAUCCCUGUUUUUGCCUUCCUUGGAGCCAUGGUGGCCCUGGCCUUCUUCGUGGUACAGAUCAGUAAGGCCAAGAGCCGGCCGAAGCGGAGG
rnacentral:lncRNA from 1 species